rnacentral:lncRNA from 1 species
UGAUUUUAUUGCCAACAAUAACAGAUAACUUUGUUUAUAUAGUCUAGACGGACACUCUGCUUCUUCAUUCCUGUUUGAAGACUGUCUAGGACAGUCCUCAAACAUCCCCAGAGACAGCUUCCCUCCACCCUCCCUCCUCCUCCCAUCACAGAGCUUCAUUGGACCUCGUCUCUGUGUCUCUGUAUGCUUUGUGCUAUUUAUUCAUAUAUAUAUAUAUAUAUAUAUAUAUAUAUAUAUAUAUAUAUAUAUAUAUAUAUAGAAGCCAGCCUUCCAGUACUAAUCUUGAGUCGAUUGGCCCAACUUAGCGGUUUUCGGGCCUCAGAGAUCAGAGAUCUUUCUUUUUUUUUUCUUUUUUUUCUUUUUGGUUCUUUUUUUCGGAGCUGGGGACCGAACCCAGGGCCUUGCGCUUCCUAGGCAAGCGCUCUACCACUGAGCUAAAUCCCCAACCCCUCAGAGAUCUUUCGUAUCUCUCCUUCUCUGCGCUCUGUUUGAAGAGCUGGAGUGGCCACGUGACUCUCCUUUCAGACUCUGGCUUUUGCUCAGCGGUCCUUUUAACCAGGCCUUCAGAAGCAAGCUCAGAUAAUCCGACGUCGGGUGUAAGGUCCGUCUCUUUGUUUUCCUUCUCAGGGAGGAGCCGCACCUUGGUGGGGCGUCCACCUGGAUAACCCGUGCUGUGCAGUGUAGAGGGAGGGGCGUGAACAGAUCCAUCCAUCUCUGAAAAUGUCC